rnacentral:rRNA from 1 species
AAUAGAUACCCAGGUAGUCCAUGCCGUAAACGUUGGGCACUAGGUGUGGGGCUCAUUCCACGAGCUCCGUGCCGCAGCUAACGCAUUAAGUGCCCCGCCUGGGGAGUACGGCCGCAAGGCUAAAACUCAAAGGAAUUGACGGGGGCCCGCACAAGCGGCGGAGCAUGCGGAUUAAUUCGAUGCAACGCGAAGAACCUUACCAAGGCUUGACAUAUACCGAAAACUCGUGGAGACACGAGGUCCGCAAGGGCGGUAUACAGGUGGUGCAUGGUUGUCGUCAGCUCGUGUCGUGAGAUGUUGGGUUAAGUCCCGCAACGAGCGCAACCCUCGCCCUAUGUUGCCAGCGGGUAAUGCCGGGGACUCAUAGGAGACUGCCGGGGUCAACUCGGAGGAAGGUGGGGAUGAGGUCAAAUCAUCAUGCCCCUUAUGUCUUGGGCUUCACGCAUGCUACAAUGGCCGGUACAAAGGGCUGCGAUACCGCAAGGUGGAGCGAAUCUCAAAAAGCCGGUCUCAGUUCGGAUUGGGGU